AUUAUAGAAGUCAACCACCGAUUAAAUCAAUACAAACGGCAGGCACGGGAAAGGUUGCUCUCAGAAG
rnacentral:rRNA from 1 species